AUGAACGCUGGCGGCGUGCUUGACCUAUGCAAGUCGAACGUGCCCCAAGCCAAGCUUGCUUGGUGAGGGACAAGUGGCGUCCGGGUGAGUAACACGUAGGUGACCUGCCCCGAAGUGGGGGACAACCACUGGAAACGGUGGCUAAUACCGCAUGUGGUGCGGCAUUCAUUUGCCGCAUUAAAGGUGAGGCGUAAGCCUCGCCGCUACGGGAGGGGCCUGCGGCCGAUUAGCUAGUUGGUGGGGUAAUGGCUUACCAAGGCGACGAUCGGUAGCUGGUCUGAGAGGGCGAUCAGCCACACUGGCACUGAAAUACGGGCCAGACUCCUACGGGAGGCAGCAAGGAGGAAUAUUGCGCAAUGGGCGAAAGCCUGACGCAGCAACGCCGCGUGGGUGAUGAAGGCCUUCGGGUCGUAAAGCCCUUUUCUGGGGGAAGAGGAAGGACGGUACCUCAGGAAUAAGCCUCGGCGAACUACGU
rnacentral:rRNA from 1 species